rnacentral:misc_RNA from 1 species
AAUUGCGCAUGUGUGGAUUUUUCUGAGUUGCCGACCCGAGAAUGCGGGCCAAGUUGCGGUUGCGGGUUGGAGUGUGGUAAUAGGUUAACUCAGAAAGGAAUUUCAGUGAAGCUGAAGGUUGUGAAGGAUAGGAGAAAAGGCUGGAGCUUGUGUGCUGCUGAAUUCAUUCCAAAAGGGAAAUUCAUAUGCGAGUAUACAGGUAAACUUUUGAUGUUGUUGUUCGAUGGGAAUAUGUUCAACAAUGAGCUCAUUUGAACUCCUAU